rnacentral:tRNA from 1 species
GUUUUAGUAGUUUAAUUAAAACACUGGUCUUGUAAACCAGUAUUAAGGUAUUCCUUCUAAAACU